rnacentral:rRNA from 1 species
AUGAACGCUGGCGGCGUGCCUAAUACAUGCCAGUCGAGCGAACAGACGAGGAGCUUGCUCCUCUGACGUUAGCGGCGGACGGGUGAGUAACACGUGGAUAACCUACCUAUAAGACUGGGAUAACUUCGGGAAACCGGAGCUAAUACCGGAUAAUAUAUUGAACCGCAUGGUUCAAUAGUGAAAGACGGUUUUGCUGUCACUUAUAGAUGGAUCCGCGCCGCAUUAGUUAGUUGGUAAGGUAACGGCUUACCAAGGCAACGAUGCGUAGCCGACCUGAGAGGGUGAUCGGCCACACUGGAACUGAGACACGGUCCAGACUCCUACGGGAGGCAGCAGUAGGGAAUCUUCCGCAAAGGGCGAAAGCCUGACGGAGCAACGCCGCGUGAGUGAUGAAGGUCUUCGGAUCGUAAAACUCUGUUAUUAGGGAAGAACAAAUGUGUAAGUAACUAUGCACGUCUUGACGGUACCUAAUCAGAAAGCCACGGCUAACUACGUG